rnacentral:rRNA from 1 species
GGUUGCGAUCAUACCAUCACUAAUGCACCGGAUCCCAUCAGAAUUCCGCAGUUAAGCGUGCUUGGGCGAGAGUAGUACUAGGAUGGGUGACCCCCUGGGAAGUCCUCGUGUUGCAACCC